rnacentral:lncRNA from 1 species
CUCCUCCCUCAACACACCUACCCCUGCCGACUGCCAGGGGAGGGUUCCUCCUCCCUCAACACACCUACCCCUGCCGACUGCCAGGGGAGGGUUCCUCCUCCCUCAACACACCUACCCCUGCCGACUGCCAGGGGAGGGUUCCUCCUCCCUCAACACACCUCCCUGCUGACUGCCAGGGGAGGGUUCCUCCUCCCUCAACACACCUACCCCUGCCGACUGCCAGGGGAGGGUUCCUCCUCCCUCAACACACCUACCCCUGCCGACUGCCAGGGGAGGGUUCCUCCUCCCUCAACACACCUACCCCUGCCGACUGCCAGGGGAGGGUUCCUCCUCCCUCAACACACCUACCCCUGCCGACUGCCAGGGGAGGGUUCCUCCUCCCUCAACACACCUCCCUGCCGACUGCCAGGGGAGGGUUCCUCCUCCCUCAACACACCUACCCCUGCUGACUGCCAGGGGAGGGUUCCUCCUCCCUCAACACACCUACCCCUGCCGACUGCCACCCUGCCCAACUGCCCUCAACACACCUACCCCUGCUGACUGCCAGGGGAGGGUUCCUCCUCCCUCAACACACCUACCCCUGCUGACUGCCACCCUGCCCAACUGCCCUCACACAACUUCCCCGUCCUCCAUCCAAUCCCAAUCUCCCCCAUCACACCACCGAUUCCCACUCCUCCCACUCCUUUUCAUCCCCUCUCUUCUGUCUUGUUUCCGAUGGUUUCGCC